UUUUGUUUUGGUCAAACCUUUUGUUUUCUACUCUUUUCAGAGGGGUUUUCUGUUUGUUUGGGUUUUUGUUUCUUGCUGUGACUGAAACAAGAGGGUUUAUUGCAGCAAAAAUCAGUAAUAAGAAAUAGUAACAAUACCUUGCAGAAGAAGGGUGGGAGAAAAGGAAAAAAGGAAAUUCUAUAGAAAUCUAUAUAUUGGAUUUUUUUUUUUUUUUACUAUAUAUCUUUUUUUUUUUUUUCGUUGUUGUCUCUAGCCUGAUCAGAUAGGAGCACAAGCAAGGGACAGAAAAUAGUGACACUCAGCGGCAGAAUUCCCUCCCAGCCACUGAGCUGUCUUGCCAGCACCAUUCCUGGUCAUGCAGAACAGAGCCCAACUAGCAGCAGGAAGACAGAACACACAAGACCCUUUUAUACAGUAUUUCAGGUGCCUACCACACAGGAAACCUUGAAGAAAAUCAGUUUCUAGAAGCCGCUGUUACCUCUUGUUUACAGUUUAUAUAUAUAUGAUAGAUAUGAGAUCUAUAUAUAAAAGGUACUGUUAACUACUGUACAACCCGACUUCAUACUGGUGCUUUAAACAGCGAGAUGAGUAAAAACAUCAGCUUCCACGUUGCCUUAUGUGCAAAGGGUUAAACCGAGGAUGGAGAAGGGAGGCAGCUUGAAGGUGAAUCGAUGCCGUGGUGGGCUUUCUCCCCCGGUAUUGAACAAGGUGAAGGGGGAGAAUCCGGGACCCGCGUUCUCCUGCUUCUCCUUGCCAAAAACGGGGGUGAGGGGAGGUGGGUCGGACCGUGGAGAGCUGAGAGUGGGAUUCAUCCAGGCUCACGCAAUAACCUUUUGAUUUUUUUUCAAAAAGGAGACUCCCUCGGCAAGAUGACAGGAUAAGGAGUCUUCCUUCCCAAUUUCUCACAUUAGCCGAUUCGAGGGCUCCUUGUGGUGGGAUCAGAAAUAAUCCAGAGUGUGGGCAAGUGACCGUUAAAACCCCACCUGGAGCAAAUAAAAAAACAUACAAAACGUACUGGUGCUUUCCUGUCUAAGUCGCCUUUUGUGUGUUCUUUUAUGAGGCCCUCACCAUCCACCCUCUGUGCACAAGGCGGCUUCCGGCCCCUGGAAUGUGAUGUUUUUGGUCAUCUCCAAAGGCUGCAGUUUUAUACUGGGAGGCUGAUGACACCUUUUGUUAUAAUUAUUCUUAUGGUUCUGGUUAUAAUUAUGUUUGUUUUCAGAUUUUUUCUUUAAGAAAACAAAAACCCAACCCCCCCUCCCUUGCGGUUUCAAACCGAGGUGCGGGGAGCAGGGUGCUUCUAAGUUAGCGGUGGCCCUGGUGCCCUGGCUCCCCACCCCUCGGGCCAGGUGGGCCACCGGGCACAGUGACAGCUGGGCGGCCAGGGGAGUCCCCGAGGCCGGCCUUCCGGGCGCGUCCCUCCUCUCUUCUUCCCCUCCUCUGAGUCGUGCGUGUCAGGGCUGGAGGGAGGACCAGGCCAUCUCUCUCCUCGUGUGUAUGAUUGGAGUGGUGUGUAUUUCUUUUCUAGUACUUGGUCUGAUGAUAGCUGGGCUCUCACCCGAGCCGGCAGCACCUGGAGCCCCAAGGGCACGGACACUUGGUUCCACCUCCUACCGAGGCAGGCGUUGGCGGUAGGCAGGGCCAGCAUCGGUGGCUCCAGGGUGAGGGCCCAAUGGGCAGAUGCUUGCCUGGAUAGAUGGGGUGUAGAUAUGUGGCAUAUAGAGAUAUAUAUUUUAUAAUGGGAGGGGGGAUGGCACCUCCUGGGACUGGCAGGGCUGGGAGGUGUGCCGUCAAGCACAUGGUCCCAAGUUCGCAUCCCUAGAAAGAUAGGGCCUACGGUGAUAGGCGCUAUAUAAAUACAUAGAUAGGGUCAUGUAUAAGAAAUAUUACGUAGUGGGGAGCGGGGCAGGGGGGCUCAGAGUGCUGAGCCUCGGGUCCCACUGCAGACAUAAGCCCCACACCAAUCAGUCAAUCCCACACGCAUACACAGGAACCGAUCUCUACCGAUGUGGAAUGGGCGCACACACACACACACACACACACACACACACACACACACACACAACCGGGGGGCUCCCAGCGCUCUUCUCCCCAGGAUUCAGGACUUUGUGGCGUCGGCCCUGCAGCUCUUUACCUCUGUUGCCCUGAUUGCAGGUAGACUCUCAAUCCCAGAAGUUGCUAGGUGCUGAAGGCGGGAAGAGGAGGUUUUAUCCCCGCAGGUGCUCUCCUCUAGCAGGUAGCAUUCUAUCUCUUUUGCCCCUGGUGAUGUCAAAAGAUUCUUCUGUUAGCAACCUGUGAUACUGACCUGCAACUCUAGGCACCAGUCAAGUCAGCCCUCGACUCCCCCUACCUAUUCUCCCCCAACCAAAAUAAAAUCGACAUCCAGGUCUAUCUUGGCCAGGGGGCUUCCAUUGGAAAAAAAAAAAAAAAAAAGAAAGAAAAAUGGGACAGUGAAACUCAUCUUUUGAAUAAAGUAAAUUAGUAAUUGGUGACAAAACUAAACCAAGGCUUUGAAUCCCUUGCUCAUUGCUCAGGAGUAAGCUCACAGCUGGUGGCCACAGUCUCCCACUCCUUUUGAGGUGCUUGGUCCUGGGCUUCAAGCUACGCGUUUCCUUGUCAGAUUGGUUUUUAAGAUCACACCCAGUUUGCUCCCUGCCAACUCUGUGACGUGGCGGCAGGUGGCCACGGUGGGCCUCCUCGGGGCCGGAGCAGCUAGGAGGGGGAAUACCUCUGCCCCUCCCUCGUUGGAACCCCUGUACCUAACCCGUGGUGCUCACGCUCGUCCCCUCCUUCUCCAGCCGGGCUCCAUCUUCCUGGCCUGGGUCCACCAGCACCACUCCAGGAGGGCUUCGGGGAGGAGGGGCUGCCUCAGGCAGUCCAAGGUGCUCCCUCCCCCACUGGCCAAGGCUAAGGUCUUCGCAGCCCCCAGCGUCAGGACCGGCUCUUCACGGGCCUGCCUCUGCAAACAGACUUUCCAGCUCUCCUGGCCCUCCUAGGCCUUUCGUCCACUGCUUACAUGAAGGAGUUUGCCUUUCCCGACGGCCCAAGCUUCACCCAGGGGGUUGGUGUGGUAGCCGUGGAGGCGGCAAGCCUGAGGGCUUAGUGUGGGCUGGCCAGCUUGCUGGGGGGAGGCCUGCUUGUUGUGACUGAUCCUGAAGAGUACUUGUUUCUCCUGGUCCAGCAACCUGACUAGGCCCCAGAAUGGGCCAGAUGACCGUUAGCAAACACCAGCUUUUCUUCCAGCCCACCCCACGGGCUUGGUCCCCCCAGUAGAACUCGGGAGGGUGCAGGGGACCUUGGGAAUGUACCAGCUUGGCUGUGCCCGAUGCUCGCAACAGUCUGCUGCUAGCCCUGGGUGGGGUGCUUCUGGGGACACGGAUCUGGUCGCCUUCUAAAGGAGGGCUGUGCUUUGACGGAGGCAGGGUUGUGUGAGGAUUAAGGAGGGGAUCGUUAACACUUGCUGUGGGUGAAGCCAAGGUUAGGGGCGUGGAGUAGGAGAAACCAAAGAAGGCCCAGGGAAAAUUCUGGAGUAUGUCCCCAGUGGGAUCUUUCUUAUGAAAUUUACCCCGGGAAACCAGGGCUUCUGGGGCCUGAGGAGGAUGCCUCCCCAUUUGUGGCAGGUGCCAAGUAGAAGGUGGUGCCAAAGAGAUGGGUGGCUUUUGUCAGGGGGAGGUUGCCGGGGGCUUGUGCCAGGGUCACAGAGCCGUCGGCCGCCUGCCUGAGGAGGAAGUGAGUCUCCCGCAGGCAGCUGCUGAGCCCUGUGGGCCAGGCCUCAAGCUGGCUGGUGCUAAGCCCCUUCCCCGGGGGACUGGCUGCAGAGCAGUCGGCUGGGGGAGCAGCCGGUGAGGCCUGGGGCGGGGAGAGGGUUCUUGCAGUCAGCAGAUCACGCCAUGAGUGUGUUACUAUCUGUUUUUCUCUCUAGACCUCAGAACCUUCCUGCUAUUGAACAUUCUUCUAGAAAGCAAACUUCCCCAAAGAGCGUCCAGGACCUCUUAGCUUUUGAGACAGGCCUGGGAGUGGUUGGCUGGUGGAGAUGCCCGUGGGAGUCUUGACUGAUUCGGUCGCAGAGCUCUAGAAUUCAACGUCCAACCAAAAUGCCGAAAUUUCUUAGAAUACGCAGAGGGAGGAGGUGACUCAACAAGGUGCUAAAAACAUUUUAUUAAAAAUAUAUAUUGUUAAAUUAAGUCUGCUGUCUGGACAAUGACUGUUUGUUUUGUUUUCUUGUAGUGGAGUUUAAAAGAGACUAUUAUUUUACUCUGAUAUAUUAUUAUUAAAAAGGCAUUUUAACUUUGUACUUGAAAACUAAAUGAGCGAUUUCAUGUGUUUUAGCUGAGGCAUUGAAGUAGCGGGUGCUUACUUAUUUGUGGGAAAUCAUGUAUUCAUACUGAAGAAUAAACUCUGUAGCUGAUUUGGUAA